rnacentral:rRNA from 1 species
GAUGAACGCUGGCGGCGUGCCUAAUACAUGCAAGUCGAGCGAAUGGAUUAAGAGCUUGCUCUUAUGAAGUUAGCGGCGGACGGGUGAGUAACACGUGGGUAACCUGCCCAUAAGACUGGGAUAACUCCGGGAAACCGGGGCUAAUACCGGAUAACAUUUUGAACCGCAUGGUUCGAAGUUGAAAGGCGGCUUCGGCUGUCACUUAUGGAUGGACCCGCGUCGCAUUAGCUAGUUGGUGAGGUAACGGCUAACCAAGGCAACGAUGCGUAGCCGACCUGAGAGGGUGAUCGGCCACACUGGGACUGAGACACGGCCAGACUCCUACGGGAGGCAGCAGUAGGGAAUCUUCCGCAAUGGACGAAAGUCUGACGGAGCAACGCCGCGUGAGUGAUAAAGGCUUUCGGGUCGUAAAACUCUGUUGUUAGGGAAGAACAAGUGCUAGUUGAAUAAGCUGACACCUUGACGGUACCUAACCAGAAAGCCACGGCUAACUACGUGCCAGCCGCCGCGGUAA